GCCCGCCCCAGGACAGGGCAGGUGGUGCAGGUGGGUGGCUGUCUUCCCCGGGGUAGGGACCAGUCGGAGGGAGGAGGCUGAGAGAUUCGGGGCACCAGCCAGACAUCACGUGCCCACCUUUCCUGAGAGCAGCUGGUGGCCCUGGGUCCAGCUGUCUGGCCGGCACUGCUUUGAUAAUUAAUCAUUUUCUGUCCGGACUAUAAAUACCCCAGAGGCUUCUUCACGGCCUCCUGGCCGAGUACCCACGUGACAAGAGGAAGAGUGCAGAGGGUGCCCGCAGUCCUGGCCUUGGGACAGACAGAGCUGCAGAGGGCUGGUCCAGUCGAGCAUAGGACCACGGUGACAGACUCACUUCUGUGGAUCAGCCUCCUUCUUCCUGCACCCUCGCGGCCCAUUUUGAGACCCAAACAGCAGGCCAGGAGAGAGGCCCCAGGAAAAGGGGCUCAGCCUCACGGAGCCAAGAUUCCCAGGAAAAGCGACGGAGACCGGGACGUGGAGACAUGACAACUCAAACUUAGAGAAUCGGAAGAAGACAAUUCCACAGCCCGACACCUCCCUGUGAUAGAUGCCUAAUUAAGACUGGACAGAAACAG